rnacentral:tRNA from 2 species
GCGGCAAUAGCUCAGUUGGUAGAGCACGACCUUGCCAAGGUCGGGGUCGCGAGUUCGAGUCUCGUUUCCCGCUCCA